CUGCCAGUUCCUGAAUGCAGUCAAGCAGCUCUGUGGAGAGCCCGCAGCUGGUGUGAAGUCAGGCACCACCAGCAAGCACGAGUGAGCUUAGCAGCGGGUCCUCUAGCUCCAUCAAGCCUUCCGCCCACCUUAGCCCUUGCUAGUGUCUUUUUUUGCAGCUUUGUGAAAGACCCGGAGUCAGAGCCACCCAGUUAAGCUUGUUUCUUGGCUGUGAUGAAAACACACUGUGGGCACAGCAUUCACCUGGGCUGCUCAGGAUCACCCCCAUGGGACUUGGGGGUGGGGAAAGGAAACAUAAAGGUGAAACACAUGUUUGCUGGACGGUUUCUGCCAAGAGGAAGAACAUGAAAUAUAAUCUGGCCUCAAUCCUACCAUUUUUUGGAACUCUGUGGAAAAGCAAUAACAAGCAAUUGUAUAAUAAGGCAUUGUUCCUGUUUACUGAGUGGGACACUGCCUGGCAGACCUGGUUAAAAUUAGGGACGGGAAGGGUGAAGAAGAUGAUAAAGGAAAGUCAUUCUGUCUAAAUAAGAUCUGUCUUUGCUAUAGAGGCCUGGCUGAUCCGAUUAAUCAGUUUCUUUUUAUCUUAAAAUUUCACGGUUAAAAAUUAAUUAAUUCAUUUGCCGUUUGCUUUUUUUGAGCACCUUCUCUAUACAAAGAACUUUUAGCUAAGCAAUGCAUUUCUUUUCUUGUAAAAACAGCAAGUCUUGCCAAGUGCUGUCUUUAUUCAACAAAGGAAAGAAAAACCUGUGCUUUCUUUGUUUGCAGUGGUGCAGAUUUGCUUUCAGUAUUUGGAGUUCAACCUUUGAAUAAGAUAUUUUUUUCUUUUCCAACAGAUCAUUGUCAACAUGUGGCUUCUUUUGGCUAUUAUCUAGUAUCUUCCUAGAGAACUCUUCAUUCACUCUUUCCAGAUUAGAAAAGAUCGAUUUAGGAGACUAAUAAAAAGUCACCAAAAUGAUCUGAAAGGGGAAAAAAAAAAAGCAACUCUCAGGAGAAGGGUAGUUCUUGUUUCAAUGGAAUGUUAGAACCAUUAAGUUUCUCUUCAAUGAGUCUCUCUCCCCGCUCUGAUUCUCACUGGAUUAGUAAAGUGCCACCAUUUGAGACAGGACAUUUCUUCAGCUGUUAAUGUGACACCAUUUGAAUAUUAUGAAUCCUGCUUUUUCUUUUUCUUUGUUGUGAUGUUUAUGCUUGAUAUGUUUUUUCUAAACUAUUUCUUAAUGCCAGAGGUAUAAAUUGGACAAUGUUACUGAAAAUGUAGCAGUGAUAUUGCUUAGUUUGACACCCACAGGAAUCUGACAGGGAUGCUUUUAUUCUGUGAAUUAUAAAGAUUGUGUUAUAUUUAUAGAAAUGAUAAGUCUUUCAAAAUCAUGAAAAUGAGCCUUGAACAAUCUGAGGUGUGGAGUUUUAUGCCUUUGUUGGUCUCUGGUCUCUCUUCCAGUCUUCACUCAAUGUAAGCCAGGCCACUUAUUUGUACUUUCAUUUCUACACAUAAUGUAAUUUGUAAAUAUCAGUAACAAGAAAUUUUUUUUUCAUAUGGAAAAGAAUGUUCUCUUUUUAUGAUAGUUUAUAGAAGGAUAGUUGAUUAAAAGUCCAAAGUGCUUCUGCUUUUAUAAAAUAAUAGCUUGAGAGUUGAUAAUGUCUGUAGUCUCCCCUUUUAAAAAAAGUAAUAUUUCUAUUCGAAGAGUUGUCCCAUGAAUAAAUUUUCAUGCUCCCUUCCCCUGUCGUAAGGAUAUUUUCUGUAUUUUCUUAGUUUGAGAAGAGUAUCUUUAGCAGUUUCUUUGAUUAAAGUAGGGAAUAUUCUAGGCAGCCUUCAAAAUGCUGUGUAAAUUUUCAACUCAGCACCUGGCUCUUGUGUUUUCUUCUCUAGCGAUGCAAUCCCAAACUUAACUGUAGCAGAUAGCACACUCAGUGCCGGCGAGUCUUCUGGACUUUCUACAUCUUGUCUGAUUUAGCCUGCAUUGAAGUAUCCCUUCUUUU
ensembl:lincRNA